rnacentral:rRNA from 1 species
AGAGUUUGAUCAUGGCUCAGAGCGAACGCUGGCGGCAGGCUUAACACAUGCAAGUCGAACGGACGCAGCAAUGCGUCAGUGGCAGACGGGUGAGUAACACGUGGGAACGUGCCCUUCGGUUCGGAACAACCCAGGGAAACUUGGGCUAAUACCGGAUACGUCCGCAAGGAGAAAGAUUUAUCGCCGAAGGAUCGGCCCGCGUCUGAUUAGCUUGUUGGUGAGGUAACGGCUCACCAAGGCGACGAUCAGUAGCUGGUCUGAGAGGAUGAUCAGCCACACUGGGACUGAGACACGGCCCAGACUCCUACGGGAGGCAGCAGUGGGGAACAUUGGACAAUGGGCGCAAGCCUGAUCCAGCCAUGCCGCGUGGGUGAUGAAGGCCUUAGGGUUGUAAAGCCCUUUCGGCGGGGAAGAUAAUGACGGUACCCGCAGAAGAAGCCCCGGCUAACUUCGUGCCAGCAGCCGCGGUAAUACGAAGGGGGUUAGCGUUGCUCGGAAUCACUGGGCGUAAAGCGCACGUAGGCGGAUUGCUAAGUCAGGGGUGAAAUCCUGGAGCUCAACUCCAGAACUGCCUUUGAUACUGGCGACCUUGAGUCCGGGAGAGGUGAGUGGAACUGCGAGUGUAGAGGUGAAAUUCGUAGAUAUUCGCAAGAACACCAGUGGCGAAGGCGGCUCACUGGCCCGGUACUGACGCUGAGGUGCGAAAGCGUGGGGAGCAAACAGGAUUAGAUACCCUAGUAGUCC